AGACCUCGAGCACUGAGGGCAUUUAUAUCUUUAGCUACACUUAAAGAAACAGAACAUACUUUAAUGCUCAUGUGUGAGCUAGCAAAACAUUGGAAUUCGUGGAUUAAGGCAAUACGAAAUGUGGAUAGACAGCUUAGAGAGAAGUGUAUCCAUCUUUUAGCCUUCAUUAGCAGGGGAUCUCAACGCUUUGGUGAAUUGUCAAGCAGGAACGCCCCACUUUUAUGUCCACCUACCCUGAAAGAGGAUUUUGAAAUUUCCUCAAAACCUUCCUUUGUCAAUAGCAAAAAUGGAUGGUUUGCUCUUUCACCACUUGGAUGUGUGCCAAAACCAAAGUUCUCUUCUUUCUCAACCACUUCUACCCAUGGCCAAGCAACUGAGAGUACUGAUCUUAUUCCGAAAACGUGCUUCUCUGAUACUGUAGCCCUGCAGGUAUAUAGAAUAGCAUUUCUUCUUUUAAAGUUUCUCUGUUUACAAACUGAGGGUGCUGCUAAAAGGGCUGAGGAGGUUGGGUUUGUUGAUCUUGCACAUUUUCCUGAGCUGCCAAUGCCAGAAAUCUUGCAUGGAUUACAGGUACCGUGAACUUAACAACCCAUGUAUAUAAUGUUUACAACUUCAUAGUAUGCACAAAUUUAGAAGUAUGUAAAGUUCUGUCAAUGGUUUGAUUUACAGGUGAGCUUAAGGCUUUGCUUUACGCCAAAGAUUAUUUCUUUGUGGGGUGCCUGAAUCCUAGAAGCUAAUAAAUAGAUGUCUGUCUGAGCUUCACUUUCAUUUGGGUGCAGGAUCAAGCUAUUGCCAUUACUACGGAACUCUGUCAAGCCAACAAACAAAGGGUCUCUCCAGAAAUACAGGAUGUUUGCAACUUACUGAUGCAAAUACUUGAAAUGGCCUUGCACUUGGAACUUUGUGUUCUACAAAUUUGUCGCAUAAGACCUGUAUCGGGGCGUGUGGAGGAUUUCUCAAAGGAAGCAAAGUCUCUGUUUAGUGGUAAAAUUAUUCUUCGUUCAUCUGUAGCACUUGCGCUUGAUUCCACUGCCCUUGUCAUUUUUUUCAAUAUUUGUCUUCUGACGUGCUGAAUAUUUCUUGAUGACCUGUGCAGCACUGGAAGGUCAUGCUUUUCUAAAAGCAUCUUGCAACUCUCUAAAACAGAUGAUAUCGUGUGUCUAUCCUGGAUUGUUGCAAGCAGAGAAUUUCAUAUAAGAUUUGAUGUAGACAAAAGAUCAAAUUAUUAAUUGUACAGAAUUUCAUAGUGUUAGUCAGUCUUCUUACUUUGUAGCUAGGUAUUCCUUGUGUUUUUGAUUUAUAAUUGAUUUUUUUUUCUGACCGUUCUUUGUGCUGCAAUUUAUAUCCUUUUCUUUUUUUGGAGAAAAGGUUGUCGCCACUCAUCAAAAUGGCGAUAAUUUGUGGCUAGUGUGUGUUGUAUGAUUGUCGGUACAAAAUGAAAUCUUUGGGGAGGGUCCCUGCACCGUGCCACGGUGAGUCGGUGAUUAUGCCCAAUGCUGUCUAGGUUCCGCUUGAUCAGGACCUAUAGAAAAGGAGAUGUCUUUGACAAAAUUUUGCAAGAGAGGUCAAAUACUUGAUUUUAACCAUAGUUCUAGGUUUCUUGUAAAUGGUCUAUCAUGUGGAAUCGCACUUUAAUUACCAUAUUGAAAACAAUGGCUCAAAAGAACUAGUUUAUAUAUUUAUUUUUGGCAAAAUACUGUAUAAAGGAUUUAACGCCCCAAAUUUGGGUACUGAGCUGACAUGGAAGACAAGUGUAACCUCAGAUCGUGUUAUUAUCACUUCAUUUGUUCAUUCGGUGUUACCAUGCAUGAGGCGUUCCUAUUUUACUGCAUAUUUUAAUACAAUAUUAUAUAUACACAUACAAUAGAUCAUAUUAAAUCUCAAAUAUAGAUUAUUUUUCUAGUUUAAAAGUUUAUCAUCUAAUCAUUUGAAUUUAGUGUAAGCAUUAACUGAUAUGAAGUUAUUCAUUCCUUUGAAACUUAAGUCAAUAAUCGUCUAUGUUUUUGUCAGGAAAUUUUCGGCUUUUGUGUAUCAAAAAAAUUUAAGUCUGAAGUCCGGAAAUUAGUCAUAUUUGUUCUGAAUGGAAUGGACUAAACGUCCCCAAUAAUGCACAAUUCACUGCAUUUUCUUUCCUGCAUCACAAUUAUUCGAAAAUUUAAGGUAACUUAAGAACAGGCGAAACACGUGUGAGAUCAGGUGGCGUUGUUGUGGCGCAUCAGCAUCAUAAUUUAUGUAUAAAUUGGAGUCUAUUAUCUUGCAUUUUUAAGUGCUGUUAGGAACUAUAUGAUGUAGUUGUUUGAUUUAAAAAUCGAUAUUGAAGUUUCGAAAGAUUUCAAAUGACUAAGUGGAUAUUUGGUUAUCCACUUGUGAAAACCCCAUUCUAACUUUUCGAUACACUUCUAAUGUAAAUUAUGUUUCAUGGACCACUUAUAGAAAAGAGACUGUUAUAUGGAUAAAUUGAGUUUCCAAAUAACACUUCUAAUGAAAAAGCCCUGCAUUAAUAACAUUAUUUGUAAUAAAUAAAAAUUAUGUAUUUACUAAGAUGAUAUUUUUUUAAAAUUAUACUAAAUAUAAAUAUCAUUAUUAUAAAGUUAUCUAUUUUUAUUGAGAUGAUAAAGUUAAUUUUACUCAUCAUUCAUAAUCUUUAUAAAAAUAUUAAUAUUUUUCGUGUAAUUUGUUUUUUUCUUCUUUCCUACGAUCUGAAAUAUAUCUUAUUAAUAUAUAUUUGUUUACUUGUUUGAUUUGACAACGACAAAACUUUUACUUUAUUCUUUAUUCUUCGAGACUCUAACUAUUAUUAUUUCUAUUUUCUAUAUUCCAAAAUUUUAUUUUAUAAAUAAAAGUAUUUCAAGACUCUAUAAAGUACCAUCUCUAUCAUGAAAAUCUGUAAAAUUAGAAAUUAAAGCCUCAGCGCCAUAAAUGACUAUAUACAAUAUCAUUAUUAUUAUUAUUAUUUAAUGACAAUAUCUAACUCUUAUGUUUUGGAAUUAAAGUGGACUGCAUUGACUUGACACAGUAAUCGAUGUGUCGUGCCAACUACUUCUAAGAGCAUUUAUAACACAUUUUUUAUAUACAAAAUGAUCCAAGUUUCACUUUUCACUUAGAAAAGUGGUUUAUAUUUUAAAAAUAUUUAACUAGUGCCAAAAAUGUAUAUUAAAAUAAUGAUAGAAAUAAAAAUAAAAUAAAAUAAAAUUAGACGUUUUUAUUUAAUGUUGAAAGAAUAGCACACUGUAGAUGAAUGGUCCCUCUUUGAUGAAUCCUUGUCCACAUUCAUUACACUAUCUUUUUUCACAUCAACUAAUUCUCACGCUAUCUCCACCAAAUAAAAUAAUAUAAAUUCUCACGCAAGAGAUAUACAUUUUAUCACCACCUUUUUUUUUCUUUUCCUAUUAAAAUAAACAAAUUAAAUAUUUUUCAUUUAAUACAUAAAUUAAAAUUACUAUUCAAAUAAGUAUUAUACCAUAACUUUGAAUAGUAAUUAUAAUUUCAAUUUGUUAGAAAAAUGUAUUUAAAAGAAAUAUAAUUAAGAUAGGGAGAAUAUCUCCUUAUCUCGUACUAUCGUAAAUGACGGAGCUUGAUAAUAAAAAUUAAAUUUUUAGAUAUUAGCUUAAAUUAAUAGGGUAUUUUUUCAUAAAAUAUUUAUAAGUGUCAAUGUUUUAACAUUUUUUAAAAUAGACUGGUGAAGGUUGACGACAUGUAUUAAUUAAUUAUUAAAUUUUAAUUUUAAAAAUAUUAUUUGAUUUAGGUUAAAUUUUAGUAAGAAGAAAAUAAUUGGACGUGAUUUUUUCGUAGAGUGGAAAAAGCUUGGAAAGUCCACACCCAUCAAACUCAUUGGCAUAAUCACAAGAGCAUAUCCGUGACAUCGGAUCCGCUUCACUAACCCUAGUCAACUCCAAACUCAACCAUGGUUAAUCCACUUCUCUAACACGCGGCCACGUGUCCCAUCAAACGGUCACUUCCGGAGCCAUUCGCCAGCACGCGCCAUUAUAAAUACUCUCUCUCGUCAAUCUCAACGUCAACCAAAACCCUAAUCCCUCUUCUGCUUACUCGUUGUGACCUUCAUUUCCCGUCUCUGCAACUAUGCCGAACCCUAAGGUCUUCUUCGACAUGACCAUCGGCGGCCAACCCGCCGGCAAGAUCGUGUUUGAGCUCUUUGCCGACACCACUCCCCGCACCGCCGAGAACUUCCGCGCUCUCUGCACCGGUGAGAAGGGAGUCGGUAGGAGCGGCAAGCCGCUCCACUACAAGGGCUCGAUCUUCCACCGUGUGAUCCCGAACUUCAUGUGCCAAGGAGGCGACUUCACCGCCGGAAACGGCACAGGCGGCGAGUCGAUCUACGGCGCCAAGUUCGCCGACGAGAACUUCGUGAAGAAGCACACCGGUCCUGGCAUUCUCUCCAUGGCGAACGCCGGUCCUGGAACCAACGGAUCUCAGUUCUUCAUCUGCACAACGAAGACGGAGUGGCUCGACGGCAAGCACGUGGUGUUCGGACAGGUCGUUGAGGGACUGAACGUGGUGAAGGAGAUCGAGAAGGUCGGAUCCAGCUCCGGCAAGACCUCGAGGCCGGUCGCCAUCGCUGACUGUGGUCAACUCUCCUAGAUGGACGGCGUUGACCCGAGGCGGUUGUGUCUAUGCUGGUGGCUCUGAAUCUGUGUCGUUUUUUCACUGUCGAUUUUUCCUUUUUUUUUUCUCCUGUCUAAUAGAGGGAUUGUGGCGUUACAGAUCAUCUCGAACCCUUCCCUUUGAAUCCUUUCCUUUGUUUCUAAUAUCAGUAUGUGGUCAUAGAGUGAUUCGAGUGUGUCAUGAGAAACAUAAAAAUGAUGAGCUACCUUCAAUAAAAACUUAGGACCCUUGUUAUUCGCCUAAUUUUAUCCUUCAUUUUCUCUUUCGAUCUGCUUUUCCUUGUUUCUAAUAAUGAAUACUGUUAACCACUGUUCAUCAUGCGCUUGAUGAACCGCGAUCUGUGUUGCAUCAUCAUCAUUAUUGUACUUUUAUGUAGAUAUUUUAUUUGU
rnacentral:lncRNA from 1 species